rnacentral:rRNA from 1 species
UGAGCAAUCUGCCCUUCUCUUCGGAAUAAGCGUUGGAAACGACGUCUAAUGCCGAAUACGACCUCCUUUCGCAUGAUCGGAGGUGGAAAGCUCCGGCGGAGAAGGAUGA